rnacentral:tRNA from 1 species
GGAGGGAUGGCAGAGUGGUUUAAUGCGAUGGUCUUGAAAACCAUUGAAGUCGCAAGACUUCCGGGGGUUCGAAUCCCUCUCCCUCCG